CCUACGGGUGACAGCAGUGGGGAAUAUUGCACAAUGGGGGAAACCCUGAUGCAGCGACGCCGCGUGAGUGAAGAAGUCAUUCGUCAUGUAAAGCUCUAUCAGCAGGGAAGAAAAUGACGGUACCUGAGUAAGAAGCCCCGGCUAACUACGUGCCAGCAGCCGCGGUACUACGUAGGGGGCCAGCGUUAUCCGGAUUUACUGGGGGUAAAGGGAGCGUAUACGGCAGUGCAAGUCUGGAGUGAAAGGCGGGGGCUCAACCCCCGGACUGCUCUGGAAACUGGACGGCUGGAGUGCAGGGGAGGUAAGCGGAAUGCGGAGUGUAGCGGUGAAAUGCGUAGAUAUUAGGAGGAACACCAGUGGCGAAGGCGGCUUACUGGACUGUAACUGACGUUGAGGCUCGAAAGCGUGGGGAGCAAACAGGAUUAGAUACCCUUGUAGUC
rnacentral:rRNA from 1 species